UCUCAGUCUUUUUUUCAGAAGGGAGAAUUGUACCUCCAGUAGACACAAACAAAAUUCUCCCUUCUGAAUGUAUCAGUAGUGUGUUAGCUUUGUAUAUCCUUUGAAAUUUUUCUCCGUGAGUUAAGGUUUUUGUUUGGCGUGGGGUUGGUUAUUUUUUGUUUUGUUUUGUUUUUUCUUUCAGUUUUGUAAUCACCAGAGCUAAUUCCAGGAGGAAAAAAAAAAGAUUAUUUGGCUUUCUGGAAGUCCCCUGCUGUGAGACAACUGUUCAUAAAACACUGGGUGCUAACAGCUAGUAGAUGGUGUCAAGAAUCCUUCAUGGUGGAAAAGGCAUAGCCCCCCGGGGUCCAGGAGCAGGAAACUGGCUGAUCACUUUUCAUCCAUACUCAUGAAGUGGAGACUGGGCAGGGUCUUCACUUCCUGACAUGUUCAAAGAGCACAGACCCAUCUUCUUCAUCCUUUUCAUGUGAACUGAAGACCAGUGGUUCUCCAGAAAUCCUCCAGCACUUCAGGACCAAAUCAGGAUGGAAGAGACAUCUAGCCUCAUGGACUGAGAAGCUACUGGUCCUCAGUUUCUCUAGUGGGAAGAUAGAUAUUUUGAAACACCCAGAGGGUAUCCUGUGAAAAAAACCUGAUAAAUCCCCCUUUAAUAUACAUUUAUUUUAUUGGUUCUGUUUCCCCAGAGAACCUUGACUAAUAUCAUGAGUUAAAUAACUGGAAAAAAAUUUUAAUUUCAUGGCUUUUGAAACUUUUUUUUUAAGAAAA